rnacentral:tRNA from 1 species
GUCCGAGGUAGCCUAGUGGACAUGGCAUCUGCCCGGUAAGCGGAACACUGUGGGUUCGAUUCCCAUCCCUGGACA